rnacentral:rRNA from 1 species
GAGCUUCGCAAAGGGAAAUGGUUUUCGUUACCGCCGGAAAUUGACUGCAUAUCCGCAUAUCGCAACUGCCUGCAGUGGUGACAGGUAAGCCGCCUUGGUCAGCUCUAGAACAAACGGGAGGCGCCUAGGAGUGCCUCUGCUCUAACUACACGCGCAACGGAGACACUAAUAUCGACAUUAGCGGCCGACCAAGACCAAAGCAGCGGUGGUACUUCGUUUUCUAACACCACUUCCAGCUCGAGUUCCUGUUGUUUGUCUUCAGCUUUCGCAACUGUCGUCAGCGGCAAGAGGGACCGCAGCUCAGCUAAAGAAACCUUUAACUACCCUUAUAGUACCAGUAACCCCUGCCGCAACUGGGGCAGGUGCGGCACCCUUUCGACGCUUCCAACAAACCCGUACGAAAAGAGCAGAGGCAGCUCCUCUAGUAGUUCUUCUUUCUGCUGUCGCCGGUCCUCCUCCUGCUUUCGCCACGCUGAGGAGGCACGCUCAAAUGUAAGCCCGAGAACUUGGCAUAGUGUUUAUCAAAGAGUCCCCUCGCGUAUUAACCAGCACCAGCCGCACCUCAUCAAAUGUUCCCCCAUGUCCUGUUACCCCUUAUAUAACGACACUUCUUCGAAUUAGAGUACGGUCCCGAACUGCUGCUCCUUAAGUUUUUACUCAAAUUAUUAGAAUACUCCCAGGUUGUAGUUUUAUGGUAUGCCAAUCAACCAAUGUCGGUAGUAUGUUGCGUUCACGAACGACUGGUGUUACCUUUUAUACAAAGACGAUCUCACUUUCUUUCUAGAGAUACAAGGCUUAUGAACCUCCCUCCUUCGGAACUGUUCGUAGAAAGAUUACUUGGUACACGAGAACAGACCGUGUGUACAAUGCUUUAUUAAUUCCCUGACACACUCCCGAAUGUAAUGGAAGUGUUUCCUAAGCUUAUAGGAUAAAUGGUAGACCUUGACUUUGGAUGUUUUCAAAACGACCUAUUCCUGUACUACGGGUUUUAACCUCCAAAACCAAAGAGAUCCGAGAAACUAAGUUAUCUUCGGAGGUUGUGCGGUCUUCAAUGUCGUUGUUCUCAUAUGUACGGCGGUCUUAUGUAGUCAUUUGCCGAUUAGUGUGGUUUCAAACUACAUAAGUCAGACCCGUAAUAUUAGAACGUUUAGUACCGUCCUUUCCUCUCGAUGUGGUUCACAUAUCUAUGAAGGGGGCUUCAUAAAUAACUCUCACAUAUACUUAAGACCCAUUUGUCCUACGUCCCGUGUUAUAGUUUCGUAUGAAGCGCACUUCAAUCUUGUACGUAGCUUUAUCGAGAUUUUACACACCUCAAGUCAGCUCUUUUCUCCGGAUGAUAUUUCCUCUAGUAUGUCUUUGACUUAUUCUAACUAUAACAACUCACGAGUAGAUAUGUAGUCGAUAUAUCUCGUUUUCUCAAAAGUAAACUCAAGAAUCUUUUAUAAUGACUAUUUAAAAGAUUCGUUUUGUAUCAACCGGCACCACCUAUACCUUAAUAAAUGUUCCCCCACGACUUCCUACCUCUUCUCCAACGACAAUUCUUUGAAGUAGUUUACAACACCUAACUACUACUUGUUAAGUUUUUGCUCGAAUUAUUAGAUUACUCCCAGGUUGUGUUUUUAUAGCAUGCCAAUCAACCGAUGACGGUGGUACGUAGUGUAUAUAAACAACUCAUGCUCCCUUUUGUACAAAGACGAUCGCACCAUCUUUCUCGUUAAACAAACCUUAUACACGUCCCACCUUUGGAACUGUUAGUUGAAAGACGACUUAGAACGUCUGAACUAACCCUGUUUACAAUGUUUUAUUAUUUUCCUUAUACACUCCCAAAUGUAAUGGAAGUAUUACGACUAUGAGGGUAAAUGGUAGACCUGAACUUCGGUCUUUUAUAAAACAAUCUAUUCCUAUACCAUCGUUUUUAACCACUAAAGCCAAACAGUUCUGAAAAACUAAGUGGUGUUUGGAUAUACUGUGUUAGGGUUCUAUAAUUUCCUUGUGCACCUAUGUACGGUGGUCUUAUGUAGUUGGCUGUCCGUUAGUCAGGGUUCAAACUGCAUAAAUCAGAGCCCCAGUAUUAGUAUGUUUAUUACCGUCCUUUCCUCCCGAUGAAGUCAACAGGUAUGUGGGGAGGCUUUCUUAAAUAAUGUUGACAUGCACUUUUGACCGCUUGUUUCCACCUCCGUUGUCACAGCGGGGUACGUAGACUUGUUCACUCCUGUACGUAGCUUUAUCGCAACUUUACACACCUCCUACUGGCUUGCGCUUCCGGAUGUUAUCGGGUGUAACAAUUACUUGAUUCAUUGUAACCACAACGAUUUCCUAGUGGGUAAGCGGUCACCCGCCUGUUCGACUGACGCAAUUUCUGGAACAAUAAUAGGUGAGUGAAGUUUGUAACCGACAAGGAGAAACAGCGUCGCUAAAGGUACAAAAAGCGUACCCGAUUUAAGACAGGUCUAAGUACCACCGUUCCGUAAUGUUCCUCUUGCAUUUGGCGUCGUGUAUGACCUACGGAAGUAGAUGCGCGGGGCUUUCCGCCAUCGUCCCUCUUAUCAAAGAUAUGCUUCCUACAAUCACUAAAGGUAUAAUCAAAGACGACAGUUCGUUCGUUUACCGAUAGAAGCCAGUCAUCUCACGAUCCCGCAGGUGACUACAGGGUCGGCGUCGAAGACCUCGGCUCGACGCCAGAGUUCGAAACCGCUCCGCCGCUCGAGGGAGGGAGGUUGGUUCCUGACCGCGCUCCACAAACUGCUUUACCAGUCUUCCUUCCGUAAAACAAAGGAAAAGAGAAGCGGAAAAAACCGUUAUUACACGUUCAUAUAAACUUUAACCAAAGUAAAUACGUAAUCCUACACACCUAAUCGUUUGUUAAAGAAACCCGUAAAUUCGAAUCUCUCGUUCCUGGUUCACGUUCUUUCCACUCGAGGAGUUUACAAUCGUCCAACUUGGAGUAGGGCGACUUCUUGUACGACCUAGCCACACCGGUAGAGGUAGUAGAAAGCGGUAAUCUUCGGGACGAAUUUCUUUAAUUUGGAAACGUACCACGCACAACGCAUACUGUUACAUUUUUUUUUAGACCUACCGUUGGUACACACCCAACCGGUAGACGGAGUCGAACAUGACUUGACCACACGACCGCCAAAAAUACCUUACGCUCUCGUCGCAAGGAACGU